rnacentral:rRNA from 1 species
CCUGGUUGAUCCUCCUAGUAGUCAUAUGCUUAUCUCAAAGAUUAAGCGAUGCAUGUGCAAAUAUGAAAUAAUUUAGACUAUGAAACUACGAACGACUCAUUAAAUCAGUUAUAGUUGUUUAAUGGUAUCUACCACUCAAAUAAUAGUAUUAUUCUAGAGCUAAUAUGUGCAACAAACCUUGACUUCUAGAAGGGAUUCAUUUAUUAGAUAAAAGGUUGAUGUGGGCUUUGCCUGGUGUUAUGAUGAUUCAUGGUAACUCGACGGAUCACACAACCAUUAUGUCAGUGAUGCAUCAUUGAAAUUUUUACCCUAUCAACUUUUAAUGGUAGGAUAAUGGCCUACUAUGGUGGUGACGGGUGGUAAAGCAUUAAGGUUUGAUUCCAAAGAUGGUGCCUAAGAAAUAGUUACCACAUCCAAGGAAGGCAACAAGUGUGUAAAUCACCCAAUCACAACAUAGGGAGGUAGUGACAAUAAAUAACAAUAUCGGGCUCUAUGAGCCUGGUAGUUGGAAUAAAUACAAUUUAAAUCCCUUAAAGAUGAUCCAUUGAAGGGCAAGUCUAGUGCCAGUAGCUGUGGUAAUUCCAGCUCUAGUAAUUUGUAUUUAAACUAUUUCAAUUAAAAAUCUCAUAGUUGGAACUAUGGUUGGGUCAUUCAAUUUGCCUUACAAUGAGCACUUAUCUACUCAUCCCUACUGCUAGUAAUGCACUCCUAGCUUUAAUUGGUUGGGUCAUUCCUCUGGUGCUAUUACAUUGAAGAAAUUAUAAUGCUCUAAGUAGGCUCAUGCUUGUAUACAUUAGCAUGGGAUGAUGUCAUAGGAUUUCUAUCCUAUUGUGUUGGCCUUUGAGAUCAAAGUAAUGAUUAACAAAGAUAGUCAGGGGCAUUCGUAUUUCAUAGUUAGAGGUGAAAUUCUUGGAUUUAUGAAAGAUGAACAAUUGCAAAAGCAUCUGCCAAAGAUGUUUUCAUUAAUCAAGAAUAAAAGUUGAAGCUCAAAGAUGAUCAGAUACCAUUCUUGUCUCAACCAUAAACAAUGCCAACCAGGAAUCAACAAAUAUUACUUUUAAGAGUCCAUCGAUAUAUUACGAGUAUGGUUGCAAGGUUGAAACUUAAAGGAAUUGAUGGAAGGGCACCACUAGGAGUGGAGCCUAUGGCUUAAUUUGACUCAAUACAGGGAAAUUUACCAAGUCUAGACAUUGUAAGGAUUGAUAGAUUGAAAGCUCUUUCUAGAUUCUAUAGGUGGUGGUGCAUGGCCAUUCUUAGUUAGUGGAGCGAUUUGUUUAGUUAAUUCCAUUAACGAAUGAGACCUUAGCUUUUAACUAGCUACAUGGAGGUGAUCCUUUGUGGUUAGCUUCUUAAAUGGACCAUGGCCACUUCAGCCAAGAAAGUUUGAAGCAAUAAUAGGUCUGUGAUGCCUUUAGGUGUUCUGGGCCACACGCGCACUACAUUGAUGUAUUCAACAAAUCUAUAGCCUUAGCCAAUAGGCUUGGGUAAUUUUUGAAAUUUCAUCAUGAUCGGGAUAGAUCAUUGUAAUUAUUGGUCUUCAAUAAGGAAUUCCUUGUAAGCGUGAGUCAUCAACUCGUAUUGACUAUGUCCCUAUCCUUUGUACACAUCGCUUGUUGCUCCUAUUGAUUGAAUGGUUUGGUAAAGUGUUAAGAUCUCAGCAACGUGGAUGGUUCACUGCCCACAAUGUCAUGGAAAGUCUGGUAAACCUUAUCAUUUAGAGAAAGGAGAAGUCAUAACAAGGUUUCUAUAGGUGAACCUAUAGAUG